rnacentral:rRNA from 1 species
UGGGGAAUAUUGGGCAAUGGGGGAAACCCUGACCCAGCAACGCCGCGUGAGGGAAGAAGGUCUUCGGAUUGUAAACCUCUGUCCUUGGGGACGAAUAAAAUGACGGUACCCGAGGAGGAAGCUCCGGCUAACUACGUGCCAGCAGCCGCGGUAAUACGUAGGGAGCGAGCGUUGUCCGGAAUUAUUGGGCGUAAAGGGAGCGUAGGCGGUCCUUUAAGUUAGAUGUGAAAUACCCGUGCUUAACAUGGGGGGUGCAUUUAAAACUGGAGGACUUGAGUGUAGGAGAGGUAAGUAGAAUUCCUAGUGUAGCGGUGAAAUGCGUAGAUAUUAGGAGGAAUACCGGUGGCGAAGGCGACUUACUGGACUAUAACUGACGCUGAGGCUCGAAAGCGUGGGGAGCAAACA